CAAAGACAUAUUUGCAAGAAUAGUUACUAAGUUUUGUUAAAUUACUUAGUCACCUUUUUACUAACCUCAUCAGCUGACUUCCUUGAGUAUCUAUGAACCAGCAUUGAAUGAGAUCAUCCCAGGUUAAUGUGUCUUCGCUAAACUGUACUUAAUUGUGCAAAAUAAAAUAAUUGCGUGAAAGCAUUGUAAUAUUGCUGUUUGUAAUUUUUAUAAGGAAUCCAUUUUAUGGGGAUUCUCUCUUCUCUGACAAUGAUAAACCUCACUUUAUAUUCAAACAGGUAUAGUAUGUUCUUAAAGUCAAUUUGCCAAAGUGGAACUAUUUGCUCAAACUAGUAUAAAUAUUUUCACCCUGUUGGUAUAAACUAAUUGGUUUCCAAUAAAAAUACAACAAUUUAUAUUGAUACCAACAUCUUGCCAGCAUUGAGAACAUCACUUUUUUUCUAAAAGGAUUGCUUAGAUAUCUGUACAAAAAAAAUGGUUUCUUAAUUCUUUAUUUGCAUUUUUAUUACCAGAGAGUUAAAACAUUUUUUGAAGUUUGUUGACCAAUAAGUGAAUUUCUGCAUUUGCCCUUUGUCCAUUAAUUUUUUAGGUUUUUAGUGUUUUACUCAUUGAUUUGUGUGAUUGUAAUCAUUCUGUGCCUCUGAGUUUUAUAGCAUUUAACCACAAUAACAGCAUUGGUGAAAGAUUUUAGAGGUAUUCCGAUGGCAGAGGUUGGUGAUGGCAAAAUGCCAAGAAACGGUGAAAAAGAAGAAGAGGGUUUUUGUACUGCUGUAUUUCACUGUGACUUCAGUACUUGGUACCACGGAGGUUGAAGUUUAUUAAGCCUUUGUUCAAAAACACUCAGCUGUAAUCCACUCUGUAUGUCUCAGCAUUGGGAAGAGUCCUGUGAGUGUCAAGGGAGAGUUUCUUCAUCUUUUCCCCCUAUCUCCUCCCUUUAGUGAUUUACUCCACAUUGUCUAGGGCAGUGGUUUCAGAAUAUGAACAGGGAUCACCAAAGUCAUCAAUAAUAAAUAAUCCCAACGACACAUUUUAAUUAUAUUUAUUAAAUAUGCCCAUGGCAACGUAAAAGAAAAUAUCAUGGAAGAAAUAAAGGGAAUGGAACUAACAAUGACUGUGAACCUGUGCACUGGGUCACACACUAAUAUAUGGUGAGUCAAGAAGUGGAACCCACAUCUGUCUAAUUUAAACAAUUGCUCCUUUCAAAGAGCUCAAUGCCUAGUACAAAACAAAACAAGUGCUUGGAAAGCGGUUGUUGUGAAUUGCAUUCCAUCUCAUUGGAAUAGGACAUGCUUUCAGAGUCCAAAUUUUUUUUAAAAUAUUGUCUUUCUGAAGGCCGUAACUAGAAACAGAUUUACAAGGUGAAACUGUGUCACUGAAUCCCCAAAUUCUAACAGUUCAUGUGUCUUGUUCUGAUGAGAAAACUGCUGACUGAGGGAGUAGAGAUGGCAAGAACACCAUUUUUAUGAAGCCCUGGACAAAUGGCCCCCCGAUGUGAUGAAGAGUACAGAGUCUUCACAAAGAAAACCUGAGUUAUUAGAAAGUCACAAAUAAGUAAACAGAUGGUGGCAGGGAAAAUAUUGUUGGGUAGAGUUAGCUGGGAAGAGCUCUUGGAGAUGAAUCUUCAGUUGGUCCUUAGGAUGGUGGAAGACCUAGCAAGACCAGGAAUAUUAUUGCAGAGUCAGAAAUUUCCCUCUCUGACAUAAUGCCACCGAGGAGUCUCCUCAUCCCACAACAAAGGCAUAAUUUAUCCCUACCCAUUUAAACAAUGUGUUUUUGAAAGAUAUUUACUGGGAACUAAGAAAUAUUUCUAUUCACUUCAGAGGACCAAUCAACAUUAAUACCAUAGAUCUGAAAACUUACACAUCCUGGGCUCUCUUUCGUUUUUCUCUUGACCCUGCAUAUUUUGAUCCAAGAGCACAGGGAUUAAUCCCCUCAUCCUGGGAUUUCCAUCACCAGUUGACACACCAAGUCGAAUUGCUCUUUUUAAAUCUAUGAGACCAAAAGCAAUGCACAUGGUAAGAAAACUAUACCUACGCUUCCCCACAGAGUGUCCAAAACAAGUAGGCUUAUGGCUUAAAGGAUAGAAUACGUCAACUCACUCAAAAUAAAAUCAAAAGAGCCCAUUUUGAUUCCCAUUUUCAGGGAAUAUAUACAAUUCCCAGAAAUAGCACUUUUAAUUAAAUUCUCAUUUUUAGUGCAGAAAUUGAGCAUAUCAUUCUUGGAUUGCUUAUUUCCUAAAAGAAUAGACUCUUUUAGAUAAUGUUUCAACAUAUAAUGAUGGGUUUGUAACAUUUCUUUCUGUUAUAGCAGACUGGAGGCAUUCACAAUUACAGAAAGUAGAAAUAUAACCAGCUUCCUGCUUCUCACAAUAAAUCAUGAAGAAAAGAAUAUUCAAAGCCAAAAAACAAAGUUUAAAACAUUUUAAGAUCUCAUAUUAAUGCUAGUUGCAAUAGCAACAUGUAACUUUACAGAAGAUAGAUAUUUAUGUCAUCAUCUUAUCCUAAUGAUCCAUAUUAGCCUCAUUAAAUCAUGAUGUGCAUCUUGACAUGAUGCAGGAUUCAGGACACAACAUCACCUACCCAGUGUUCUUACCAAAAAUAAAUAAAUAAACUGAGCUAAUCAAACCUCUAGUUCUAAUAGGAGACAAGGGAGCAAGAAGAACAAAUUAAAGGAUUUCACAAAGAAAUAGUUAGACAAAUCCAGGAGGUGAGACAUUCUACAGGACAACAGACCAGGCCCUUCAGUAAUAAAUGAGAUGAAAGGAAGGAAAAGAGAAAAGGUGCAGUGGAAGAGGACUAUUACACAUUAAAGAAAGUGAAAAGAUAUAGCAACCAAAUUAAAUACAUAGUCAUUAACUGGAUUCUUGCUUUAAAAAAACCAUCUGUAAAAGACAUUGUGGAAAGAAUUAGGAAAAUUUACUGUGGGCUGGCUACUAAAUGAUUUCAGGGAAUUGUUAAUUUUGUCAAGUGGGAAUUGGUAUUAUGGUUAUGUAGGAAAAUAUUUUUUUAAAAAAUGUAUGCUGAAAUGUUUAGGAAUGAAUAGUCAUGAUGUUCAUAAUUUAUUGUUAAGUACUUGACCAAAGUAAAUGGCAAAUGUGGCAAACAUGCAUGAUGGUUAAAUCUAAAUCUAGGUGAUGAGUCCACAGAUGUUGAUUCUAUUAAUUCCUUUUUUGUAAUGUUUCAGAACCUUUCACUAAAAUUUUUUCUAAAGUUUUCAUUUUUAAAUAUCCAAGAAGUCUUCAGAAUAUUUAAACAGUGAAAAAGUAAAAUGCAAUAUGCUGCAUGAGAAUUAGCAUAUUUUCUUAAAGACUGCGGCUCUGUUCAGAGAACAUAUUUCAAAGGACAUAUUUCUAAGGCGACAAUGAAGACUGUUGCUGACUAUAUUGUGAAGUAAAUAAGAAAACCACUAAUGGUAAUGUUGCACAUUUUGUAUUAUUCUUAUUCAAGACACAGGCGUAAGUGAGGUAUGUUAAAAUCACUGAUUUUCAAGAUCUGACAUGAUAAUAGUUCAAAACCAAGCCUUCCAGUUGUGGGGAAGGGGAGGUGGUUCCAGACUUCCACAGAUGCUCCGAUGAACUCCCAUUAGUUGAUUGUCAAGAUCACUUUGCCCUCAGGUGGGUGAGCAUCAUACAGAAGGUAAGAGAUGGUUUUGACAAAAGUCAAAGUAUGUCAGAGGGCCCAUGAAUGAGGGGGCAUAACUAGGACUCUAUUUUUGGAACUUAUGUGGGUGUCAGUACUAAACCCUGAUCUCUUCUAAUUUCUGUCCAGUUGCUAAGUAUAUUAUUUGACCAUUUAGCUCUGCAAGUCGUGUUGUUCUUUUUCUCCUCUUUAUGAUUUUGCCAAAAAUUCAAGUUACCAUUCCAAUUCUCUGUCCCUUAAACAAGUAAACAUUAUUUUUAAUGGAAAGGCUGAAGUAUUGCCACAGAAAUGUAGUAUGGGUACUGAAGGUGAUGUAGUCAGUCUCUUGGCCUUCACUGAGCCCUUCCUCUGUCAUCAAAGCACAAGUCAUCAUGAAUCCGGCAUCUGACCCCCAGAGCACCACCAAGAAGAAACCAGAGGCGCAUGAUCAUGGUCCUUCAUUAUAGAGACUCCAAGUAAGUAUUUGGGUCAAUUUUAUCAUUGUUACAGAACUGGAGGCUAAUGCUCAAAAUGGCUUCUGACCACUUAUUCAUUCAUCAGUCAAAGCAUAUGAUAUAAUUGAUGUGCUAAUCACUAGCAAACGGGUAGAGAGUGGUGAAGCAAUAAGGACAGCCUGGGUUUUACUGCUGCCAUUGCAGCUUCAGCAUCACAAAUAACAUAGAUUUCAAACAAUAGUUCUCAAAGGAUGGUCAUUGACCUCUAGGGGCCCCAAGAGGUUUUCAGGGAGUUCAUGAAGUCAGAACUCUUUUCAUAAUGAUACGAAAACAUUAUUUUCCUUUUCCAUUGUGUUGACAUUUGCACUGAUGGUGCAAAAGCAAUGGUGGGUAAAGUGCCGGUACCUUACCAUGAAUCAAGGCAGCUGCAUCAAUUCUGUGUUAGUAGUCAUUGUCUUCUUCACUGCCACAUAUUCACAGGGGAAAAAAGGUAAUUUCACUUAAAAAUGCUAUUGACUGUAUUAGAUUGUGAGGGCUGCCAUAUCAAAAUACCACAGACUGAGUGACUUAAAAAACAGAAAUUGAUUUUCUCAUAGUUCUGAGGCUGGAAGUCCAAGAUCAAGGUGCCCAGAUUUGGUUUCUCUUGACGUCUCUCUCCUUGGCUUGUGGAUGGCCACCUUCUCACUGGGUCCACACAUGAUCUUUCCUCUGUGCAUGUACAUCCCUGGUGUCUCUUAUCUGUGUGUGUCCAAAUUUCUUCUUAAGCAGACCAGUCAGUUUUGAUUAGGAUCCCCCCUAGGGUGCCACCAUAAUCCAAUCCAAAAGAUCUCUUUUAGCUUAAUUAUCUCUUUAAAGUCCCUGUCUUCAAUACAGUCACAUUCUGAGGUGGUGAGGACUUCAGCAUAAAAAUUUUGAGAGAACACAAUUCAGUCCAUAAUAUUGGUGAAACAGUAAAAAUAUUAAUUUUAUUAAAUCUUAACUCUUAACUAUAUGUCUUUUCAGUAUUCUGUGUGACAAAAGGGGAAGUCAACAUAAAGCACUUCUGCUGCCUUCCAAAUUAUGGUAGUUAUCUCAAGAAAGGCAUUUGUGUGAUUGUUUGAGUUGCAGGCUGAACUAGCCACUUUUUCCAGAGGAACACCAUUUUUGCUUGAAAGAAUGACUCACAGACCAACCUAUGGUUGCUCGGACUUGUGUGUUUGGUAGGCAUCUUCUUCAAAGUGAAUGAACGGAGCCUGUCACAUCAAGAAAAACAGCUCAUAGCUGUUGCUGAUGACAAAAAUCUAAGCUUUCAGGCAAAAAUUAGACUUUAAGAAAACUUGUAUCUGUCACAGUGAGCUGGAUGACUCUCCAAUGUUUAAAUACUUCUCUGAUACCAAGAUAUUGAUGGUAAUAUUAAUUACAAUGAUAUAGUAUAAUGAAAUGUGUCAACAUGUGGAAGUUGCCUAAAUCAGUGAACCAAUUAUUUCCCCAAUGAUAAAUGAAUAAUGUUAUAAAACCAAGCAUGAGUGAAAUAUCCAUGUAAAGUGCAAUAUAGACCAAUAGAUUUUUUUGUAAUAGAAUAUGAAAAGUUCAUUAACAUCCCACAUUGCAACUAACCUUCUUUUUGACCUACAUACCUGUAUACUGCCAGGUUUUUCUCAUAUAUUUCAAUAAAAUCAACAUAUUGUCAUAGAUACAAUACAUAAACAGACAUGAAAAUCCAGCUGUCUUCUGAUAAGCCAGCUCCUUUCAGACAGAUAUAUGAAGACUAUAAUCAAACACCCCCAGAAUCUCCCUUCCUUGUCUCUAUUCUCCCAUGUUUUUUAGCUGUUCCUCCAUGUAUGUGAUUUGAAGUCUCUCCAACAGCCUGAUAUUCUCCUUUUAAUUCACUGCAAUUUUUCUGUAACUCUCAAAAACUACAUAUCAAUACCGAGAGCAAGGAGUGGAAAUAAAUAAAGCAAUGUUCACAUCCCAAAUAUUCCAAGCCUGGAAGAUACCCCUGUCUAAUCUCAAUUUCAUUUCUGGGCUUGGUAUCCCAUGAAUUUUCUCAAGGUUCACUGAGUCUCCAAGCAUGAAGCUUGGUCUCAGCUAAGACUGGACAUUACUGUGGUAAACCCAGUCCCCACACAUUGUCCCUUUCCUCUAUUCCCCCUGAGAAUGAGUUUUCCUGACACUGAGAACAUGGCCCAGCCUCCUUCCAGGAAGAACUGAAAUUCAGGACACACCUGCCCUGUGUCUGCCUUUCCCCCUUCACACAGAAGACCAUCUCAUACAGCAGUGAAAAUCCAUACAGAGAAAGAAAAUGCCAGAUUUGCCAGGCCACUCUAUGGCCACUUCUGGGAAAAUCACCCCUCACAGUGGUGCUGAGGGAGUACCUUGAGAAACUUUCAAAUAAUAAAUGCCAGAAUAAACCAAAGAAGACUGAGUAUUUGCCUAGUGAGCCAAAUAAUAUCACUGAGCUAGGGUUGACUUAUUUGAUUUCUUGUAUGUUCCUUCAAAGUUGGGUCCCUUGGCCAAGUUUUGAAACUUCCCUCGACCAUUCUAGACUCUUUCAUCUGAACACCCAAGGGAGUGAAUAUAUGAUCCUCGAGGUCUCUCUCAGCUGUGACAUUCUAUGAUUCCUCUGCAGAGUCACAAUUGAUCCUUGGUCACCCAUGUUGGUGGAAAGAAUGUGAUUUGAAUACUCCAAGUACACAGCAUGAAACUCAUUUCUGUUUGGUGUUAGAAUAUAUUCCUUGGUGUGAAGGAAAUCAAAACAAAUUUAUCUCCCCAAUGACACCUAACUCAGGCUAAUGUUAAAAAUCAAUUUGUUUGCAACUAAUGGUGUUGCGCUCCACUAAACCAAUGUUAGGUAGUAUUGCUUAAAGUGGUGUGGUGCCAGAGAGAGAGCAGGGGACUCAGAAUUGGGAAGAUGUGAGUUCUGGUCGUGGCUCUGUCACUUCCGAGCUUAUCCUCUCUGAACAUGAGAUACUGCAUCCUUAAAAUGGAUUCAGAAGACACUUUAUGAGCAUUCACUGAGUCAGGCACUGUGCUGGCACAGGGUAUACAGAGAUGAACAAGACAAAUCCCUUCUCUCAAGGGUCUCUACCUAAUGAACAAGAGAGCAAAAGAGUUUUGAGUGCAAUGACAGACAUGAGCAGUAGAAGCCAUGAAAAUUCAGGGAAGGGGUGGGCGCCUAACCCAGUCCAGUCUUGAGCCAUUGUAGAGGAGGAAGACCAUUUGUUUGCCCUCUAGGCUCUUCUGGCUCGUCCAAGAAUUAAAUUGACAUGAGACAGAAUAGCAGGAGAAAAUCAAAGAAAGUUUAUAACAUGAAUACACGGGAGAAACCCAGGAAAAUUGAGUAACUUACCAGACUGUCCAAAGCCACAACCUUAAAUACCAUCCUCAGCUAAAGACAAAUGAGAGUGUUGCAGGUAAUGGUCGGAUCUUCAAAGGGAGGAAGACAACUUACAUGGAGAUGGAAAUGCAAAUGUUUCUUAAAUAAAUGUGUGCUGGGCAACCAAUAGGCAGAAAUUUGAUUAAAAAAUGGGCUUGUUAGUGUGUUUAUAUCACACUUAGUUUAAAUUACACUAUAGUUAUCUUAUGGUAUUAGUUCCUUCCUGAAACAGUACUUCUAUCUUAAAUUCUUUUAGGCAAUUAAAGGGAAGGUCUGUUUCUUUCAGAGUCUUCUGUUCCUAAAAAUAAUCAAGCCAAAUACAUACAUUUUGGGGUGGCCAGUCCUCUUCCCCUACAGUCCCAACUUUGACAUUUUUAAGAAGGUUCACAGUCCAGAAUCUAAGUUGGUAGAUUUUCCAUGUCACUGAACAGGUCUCUUAGUGCUGAUAAUAGAUGACUUCAGCUAAAUUCACUUCAAAAAGCGGUGAUGCAGGUGGGCUCCAAAAGCUAAGCCUAUGUUGUAUAAGCAAGCAAUCAGGUAUUUAAUAUAAAGCAUUUCUAUGGAAACAAAAAGAAAAACAAAGUUAAUGGUUGGAGCAAAUUAUAAACCAGUUUCUGAGUCCAGGGGACCGUCAGUCAAGAAGAUUUCUAGAUGUCAGUGUUGAAGCAUCUUUUGCAGUUUGAAAUGUCUCUGAUAGUGUCAUUGGGUGUUCAGGCAUCCUUUUGAGUGGCUUACACAGUAACAGGCAUGAGUCUCUCUGAAGUUUACAUCAAGUCAUCCAACUUGAGUCUGUAGAGCUUCAGGAACAAGGGUGUUUUCAGUUCUCAAUAAUUCCAAUUGAAAAUGAUGGGAAAAAAUUGAAAACAUUAGUUUGGAGAUUUUUAGUGGGAUAUUUCAGGAGACUAGAAGAAUUCAGGAUCUACUGCAGCAUGCAGAUAUGAAACAAAACCUCAAGGACAAUUUAUAGAACUAGAAUCUAAUAUUCACAAAGUGUAUUAUAGUUUCUACUGAAACAUAACUUUUCACUUUAAAAUCACCUUCAUUUUUAACUAAGAUAACCAAAUUAAGAGUAAUUGGUUUGUAAAAUAUCUAGUUUCAAUCAACUUGGCUCAAUUAGUUACAUAAGGACAGCAAGAAUAGCAAUUGAUUAUCUAGGCUCUUUUAAAUCUGCUUUGCUGGAACUUUUCAUAAGGAAUCUCAGGUUGAACUUUAUAGGCCUCUCAAGGCCAGGACAGCAAAGCCAAGGACAUAUCAUAAGACUUGAUGCAAUACCUUAGAUUUGGGUGAAUUCCUCUCUUCUCUCAAGAUUCCCCCAAAGUAUCCUGAGGGUUUUUUUUAUAUCUACCAGGACAGUGACCUUCUUUACUCACCUGGUAAGGUUGUUGGAAACCCUGUGGCUUUAUUUCACCAAGUGGCUUUCCAAGUGGCUUGAUUUCACAAAGUCAACCUUUAUUCCUCAAAAGCUGUCUGGUUAUACCUGAGUCUGUGUAUGUUUCUCUCAAAUAUGACAUUCCAGUCAAAGCUUUCGGAAUAUAACCAAUGUUUACAAUUGUGUCCUGUUAUAAGGAGAACAGGUCCUUAUUGAACUUAUGCAAAUAACUGUAUCGUCAUGAAAAUAGAAAUAUUUAUUCACUAGGAGUUUCCAAAUUCUGGAGAGAUCAGGUAGGGAGAAAAAGAUAAAUGUUUCAAUUCUGCUUACAAAAUAAUAAUUUACCAAAUUGCUAUAAGUCAUAGUUAGCUUAAGAGAAAAGAGAAAAAGUUUUCCUUAAAUCUGAAAAAACAGAACAUUUAAAAAAUUAGCAAUAUUUUAAAUGAAAAGUCAUAAAAAUUAUAAUCAUCCUCAUCAGUUCAUUUAGUCUCAGGUAAUCAUCUCUUGAUCUUGAUCUUCUGUUAGCAGUGUCAUGAAGUCAUUAGUUUCUAUGUUAGAGUUCUGUAAUUUCAGACUCAGUUUAGUUUUGUUAUCUGAAAGUUGAUCAGAAACCUGUAUUCUAGAGUAAGCAUCCUUUCCACAAAUCUUUUUGAAGAUGAAACAUUCACAAAAGCCUCAGAGUAAAACAAUAAAUAUCAGUAAACAACAAAAGUCUUAAAAAUGGCAAUCAACAAAGAUAUUUGGUUAUGUCUGUGACAUACAACACUUUAAUAUAAUAAGUAGAAAUAUGACUGAUAACCAGGACAGAUCAGCAUUUUAAGAAUCUUAUAUAAUUUUUUAAAGAUGCACAUCAAUAACAUUUACCCACACAAUAUCAUAGGUCCCUAUGAAACAUUGCCUAGUUAUCCACUUAACCAAAGUGAUAACAGAAGAUGUUAAUGGCAAACGUAGAGAAAAGGCCUUGAGAGACCUCAGCCUUUUUGAAGAGAGGAAAUUAUUUUGACUAAACAUAGAUUUUUUUCUCUUUUAUGUAGAUUUACUCAAAGGUGAAGAAAAACCAUUUAUAAUCUCUUUACCAAGAGCAGACUAAAAGUUUAAGUAAAUUAUCCUUUUAAGAGAGGGAAAAAAACAAACUCUAAUUUUGCAUCAGCUUACUUUUGAUAUUUAUUUUUC
rnacentral:lncRNA from 1 species